UACAGAGGUCCCGAGCGUUGUUCGGAUUCACUGGGCGUAAAGGGUGCGUAGGUGGCGAGGUAAGUCGGAUGUGAAAGCUCGGAGCUCAACUCCGAAAUGGCAUUGGAAACUACCUUGCUCGAGGGUUGGAGGGGGGACUGGAAUGCUUGGUGUAGCAGUGAAAUGCGUAGAUAUCAAGCGGAACACCAGUGGCGAAGGCGAGUCCCUGGACAACUCCUGACACUGAGGCACGAAAGCGUGGGGAGCAAACAGG
rnacentral:rRNA from 1 species